UUUCCAAUUGGAAGCCGAGGAAUGCAAUUAGUAUUUUCUACUGUCACAAAAUUAGUGCCUACUCUUCCCUCUAUAUCUGUGGGGUUGAGUCUGUCUACCUGGUGCUGGCUGCCACGCAAUGCUCAGCCUGGCUUCUGCUGCGCCGUCAGGGUCACUUCUUUCAAGUGGCUCCUUGCGUGGGCUCCCAGCUGGCCCAAGAGGCUGAAAGGAAGCCCCUUUCCAUACCAUGUCAUGUGCUGAGUUACUGAGUGUUUUAGAGGUUUCUAAAUCCCUGUUUAAAGUUUGCAUCCAAAAGAAAUAGAAGGUCUUGUAUUUUACUCUGAAAUAACUCCUGGAGAUAGGCCAGACUGAAGUAAAUGGAAAAAUAAAUCAUUUGGGGGGGGAAAAAAGCCACACAAGUAUUUACAAAAUCUAAUCUGUAAGUGGACUUUGAGUCUGAGCUGUUCUUAUGUGAAUUUAGCCAGGAAAGAAAACAUGUAAGUCUCAAGGGAGGUGACUAAUGUCAGCAUGAGUCUGUAGCUUAGGGCCUACAGAAAUUAUUCUCCAUGGUGCUUCUGCCUGAAAUGUAGUGAUUUAUAUAUAAAUGAUCUUAUGGCAAGCAAGAUAAGAUGUUAAGUACGGGAAAAGUGAAAGGGAAUGAAUUGUGGUAAUAAUGUGAGAUGGGAAAAAGAAGAUGCUGACUCAAAAAUUCAUUUUCUAGGAUAAUUUUUACUUCUUUAGUUACAGAAGAACUUAAAGCUUAGGCAGAUGGUCACUGAUAAUGGGUGUCAAAUUAUGGACAUGGAUGUUCUCAUAAUGUAAGGGCAGGCAACCCACUGCUGAAGCACCAGCAGUCCUCCCUGGUGUACGUUGCAACAAAUGCCCUCUAUUGUCUGUGUUCUGGUUCUGUGUAUUUACCCUAAGUGUAAGAGCUUCUGGGUGGACACGCUAUCAGAACAGCCCUUAGCCUUGCAGUUGUCUCAGCCAGUGCUGGGGAGGUGUCAACUCAACAGUAAAGUAGAAAGUAUUGGAGACUUAUUAUGGAAAACAUCACAUUUGCUCUGUAAUUUUCCUCCAUGAUAUCCCUUAGAAAAACCUCCAAAGUGAUUCUUCUAUUCCUACAGUCCUUUUUCAAACCAAGGGGAGUUUUAUCUGACUCAGGACUUAGGACUUGGGAUCCUUCCUGCCUAGGGUGAAUCCUGACCACUCUGAGGCCAAUGGUAGACAUGUUCUUGGUAGUCUGUCCUGACCAGGUAACGUUUCUCCUGGACCAUGGAAAAUGAGCUAGCUGCAUCCCUGAGUUGUGGAGCAAAAGGAGACUUGCUUUCAAAGGAGUGUUGUAGAGUCAGAAACAAGAUUAUACCCUGGAGAAAAUCAGUUCUCCUUUAGCCACUACUUCACAGCUAAAAUCUAUUAGAGAUAGGUAAAUAUAGCUAAAACAUCAAUGGCAAAGUAGCAUAUGUUUUAAUUUGUAGAUCAGACAUAAAUAUAAUAAUAAUAAUUACACAGCAGUUACAGUAAAAUUACUAUAGUUCCAUGUUACCUGCAACUACUAAGCAAUAUAGGCUGGUUACUACACGACAGUGUGAUUACAGCAUAGGCUCAACAGGGUUUUUGUAUGUGGGGUCUAAAAAUACACUAAGUGAUCAGAAAGUAACUCAGUGAUAGAGACAACCCCAACUUUUAGAAUCGGUGUGUUCAGGGAAGUAGAGCCAAAGUCUAACUAUAAUGUAACUGCAGUACAAUUCAAGAGCAAGUUGAAACCACUGCAUGAUGUAGCCUUAAAACAAGAUUUUGCAAUGUUAAAAAGUAAUGUAGUUAAACGAUGCAGAAAUCUUUAUGGUUACAUUUGCUUCAUGGCUAGAGUACAAAAUGCUAGUACAAGUAGCCAUUUCCAUGUGUCUGGAAAAAAUCCCCCAAAUCAGUAUCAGUUCUCUGAAUAGUCAAUGUAGGUCUGCAAAUUCAGGAUUGAAAACCUGCCUGACCGCAAAGUGUAUGUAAUUUGUGUUUGCAUUUUUUCCAUGUCAUGCCACGGUCUCAGAAAGGGAGAACAAAAGCCAUGCAGGAUAGUAGCAGACUUCCAGAUGAGUUCCAAGACCUGGGAAAAAUACCAAAAUAAUAAAGUGCAGGUUAUCCAGUCUUGCAGAGUCAAAGCUGUCUGAACAGGAUGCCUGGGAAUAAGUGUCCUCUUGGCUGUGCCCGUCCCUGAUGGCUGAUUCUGGCUGAUGUCACCUCAGCUCCUCAGCACCCAGGGGAAGAGCUGCUCGAGUACUUCAGCCUUUUGUACUUUGUGAUAGAUGAUCCUGCCAACCCUGUCUAACAGCAGGUCUGUGUUGUCAAUGGGAUUUCAAUUAAUUUGCUACUGAUGUAUGUAAAUAACUCCUCCUGUUUAGCCUUACCCUGGCUGGCCAGUGGUGCCUCUUGUCUCCUUCAGCAAUUGACUUUUGUUUCCACAUUUCCUUAUUUCUGCAUAUUGUUGUCAGUAUAAUUUUGUUUUUAAUAGUAUUCCUACCUCCAUUUCAUCAUUUAAUGAAGGGAGGCAUUUCUUCUCCAAGGAACUGAAAAGUCUUUGCACAGAUACGGAUGAUUAGGAGUUGCUGCUCUGCUUUCUGCAGAAUUUGCGCUCUCUCAACCUGAAAUUGAGGAAAUAUCCACCAGAGCACAGAUGUUGGCUUUUCUAAGGUGGUGUCUUUUGGGUUCAUCAGCUGUGCAGUCAGCUCUGUCCCUGUGGCUCCAGCACUGAAUUUCCUCAAGGCUUCUCAGCAGGUUGGACAGACUGAACAUGCUUUGAGAAAGUGAUGUCUUUGAAGAAGCAAGCAUACGUACUGCUGGUGAAGACCGUACCUGCUAGUCUAUAGCAAAUCCAUCAGGGACCACUAAGAAGAUACCAAAAUUAUGCAUAGACACUGAGAGCUGUCAUGCAUCAAAGAACUUCAUAUACAUCAGUGAAGUCUCCUGACACCACGCUGGGCAGAUGAGCAUCACAUAGCAGAUGGGUAAAAUGAGACUUAAAGAAGCUGAACAGAAGUGGCCCCCCUGGAAAUACAGCUCAGCAGCCUCCUGCUCAGAUAAGCAUCCUCAGCCUCUUUCCCCAUCCUCCCCUUUGCAGCCGCAACAUGUUUGCAGCAGUCACCGCAGGAACAUUAUCCUGGGGGACAGGAGCGGGACUGGAGCAUCAGACAUGGGAUCUUUCGUCGUUGCCCCCAUGCCAUGCCGGGGAGUGUGAUGUCAAGCCUCCCACCCUGUGCCCAGUUGUGGAAACUGAAGCCCAUAUGACCUUCACUGGAAACAAAAGUUGCCAGAAUUAUCAUCCUGCAAGAAACACUGAGAACUCCAUUGAACUAUGUGUCACACUGUGAACAUAUCACUUCCUCAUGCCUUAGCUGUUAGGAUAUCUUUAGUGUUACUGAAUGCAACCAGCUAUAAACAUUUAGGGACAAAGUCUAAGAUAACUUCUUCGGACAACUCUGCACCUGGCAGUCACCCAGAUGGUGAAGGCAGUAACUGGUAGAGGGUAUGUUUCACCACCAAAUUAGCUCAGGAUGCUGCAGGAUUUUUAACGGAGGCCAACUCUUCGGUCUCACAGCAACCCUUUGAAAAAUGACAGUAAGAAGCAAUUCUCGCUCAUAGAGAAACCCUCUAGUGCACUUGAAAUCGAAAUUUCAAAAUGGCCAUGAGCAAAAGUCAUCUAUCUGAAAGGUGCUGUUUUGCUUAAUGUGCACUAGAAAUAUAGUGAAGCCAAUUUCAUUGGCAGUAAGGUAUGUUUUUUCCUCUGACUUUAACACCAAACUUCUCAAUCUGACAAAUAAUUUCAGUCCUUUGACUCAGUGUUAGAGAAAAUAUUUAGUUCUGUGCAUAAAAUGGAUGGAGGGCCAAAAUCUUUCUCUCAUAACCUGCAGAAAUUGCUGGAGUUACUCCAGGGAUGCAUUUAGUCCCUUCUGUUCAAAAUUUAAGACCCGCUGUUUUUGUGACAGCACAGGUAAUUGCUACAGCUGGAGCAAGGCUGUAUCUCGUCGUCUCUGGCCUCAGCCCCACCUGCCGUUCUCUUUUCCUGCAGCAGAAACACAGUGAAUUCCUCAGAGGACACUGAGGGAUGGAUCCAGUGCUAAAUCCUCACCUGAUGGGAGCUGGUGGAGGAGGCCUCUGCAACCUACAGCACGUCCUGCACUGGUUUCUCUGCAGGAAAGGAAAGGCAAAACCUGACCCUUGGGGGUGGCUUUAGGAAAUCCUGUAGAUUUUGAGGUAUGCACAGAGACUCCUUCCUUCCCCCCCACUAGGCGCAAGAAGCAAGGACAAACCCUCCAGUGGUGGGGUCAGAUUGAGGGCUUUCUCCUGCACUUCUCCAGCUCUUACACCCCAGCCCAGCUCCUGUUUACCCCUUUGAGGUUACUGAUUUGGCCACAGGAUGAAAAGCAACCAAAGGCAAAGUGUCAUCUUCCAAAUAUGCCAAGGUGAAAGCUUCUGCCCUGGGAGCUUUGGAAGAAAGAUACAGAAAAGGGGCACUAAGGAGAUUAUAUUAGCUCUGUUUUACAACUGGAGAUCAGAAGCUAAGAGCUGAUAUCCCCACAACAGUGAUUUAUGCAAGACCAUGAGUUCACCCAGCCCCAUGGUGGGGUACGAGGCAGACCCCUCCGCUGAGUCCUGCAGUGGCAUCUCCAUCACACAGCCACACCUGCAUAGCUCUGAAACCUUCCUGAGUGGGAGAAGAAUGAUAAUUUGUGCGUGGUGACGAGAUGUUUCUCAGCUUUCAGGCUUCCUAGCCACAAUCAUUCCUUGAGAAACAAACGGCUGUGAAAAGGGCAGGAUCAAGAGGUGAAUUGUCAGACACUGUGCUAAGAACAAAUGGGCCGGUUUUCUGUUACGCCAGUCUGUUGCUGCACGGAUACACAUGCUCACUCAUAAAACCAAAUGCCAGCAGAUAUAUAUUUCCUUCCAAACAGGAUCAUCUAUGAAUAUAUAUAACUCUAUCUUGAAUUAGAAAAAUCCAUCAGUUUUUCCUCUCCCUGUAGGUAUGCACAUAGACGCGCAUGAGUUUGCAUAGACAUCCAGCUACGGUGCAGUACACUACAAACAAAAUGUGUAAGUGAAAUUAUUAUAUCUAAAAUAGCACAAACUCAAGAGAUACAUAUCAGCAGCCCCUCAAAUUCUAACACCUCCCCGGCUGCAUAUCUCCAUCCCAUAAAUUUUCAGACUUACUGUUACAAAUAAUUUCAAUUUGCAAUUGUUCCCUUACGCUGAUUUUAGCCAGAUCAGACUUACAUCCUCUUAUUAGACACAUCUUUCAUGCAGAGUGUAAAACAGUAAUCCGCUUGUAAUGCUUACUGGCAUUGGCUCUCAUCAAAGAGACAGGUGGAGAAUUGCAGUUAAUGGCAAUAACAGAGAAAGCCCGCUGUUUGGGUGGCAGCGCUUCGGAGGGUUUUCUACCUGCCUGCCAUGGGACUGAAAUCCAUGAAUUUGAAAGCUGCUUGUGUCUUUACAGUCAUUAUGAAGGUAUCUCUCAGUCAGUACCAAUCAAUGACAACUGAAACUUUUUAUGAAGAAAAAUUCCAGUACCAUCUGGAAUUCCUGGAGAAAGAAAAACCUAUGGACUUGUCUUCCGCAGCGUGGCAACCCCCAUCAUUAUAACCAACACAAAAGCAGGCUGAUGUAUUACCAUUUUUGCUUCCACCCAUUAUGCUCUUCGCUCACUAAUAUGUGUUGCAGUAUGUGGAUAUUGAUGUCUGAAGGGCAGGAUUUUUCCAGUUGUUUCACCUCUUAAUGGUUACCGGAGCAGCAGUGGUCCCUGACUGCACACUGGGAAGCACCAUUGUUCAGCCUGCUCUGCCCCAGCUUGUUUCCCCCAAGAAGUUGUGACUGUGCAAAUAACAGCACUCAUUUUGACCACACAAAAGAUGAAGUCUGACCUUGCAUUAUACAAUUUCCUUAAGUAAAAAUAUAAUAAUUGAGUGAACAGUGAGUUAUUAGGCUGACUAAAAUUCUUCAGGCGGUGAAACACCAUUUUUAUAUGACAUGCAAGAGGACAGAUUUCCUGACAACACCAUGUUUCAAUCUUUCUGACAGAAAGCCCAAGCUAGAAAAUUUUCCAGUGUCUAUUCCCAGUCAAGUGUGGAUAUUUUUCCUGAGAUAAAAUGCAAAGCGUUCAGUUAAAAAUUGGUAUUCAGCCUGUGAAAACAUGUUAUAGAUCAAUUAUUUCAGCCUUCUAAUACUACCUGAUAUUUGCAAGCACAAGUUUUAAAACCUAUACGAAGACCUUGCAAGUAGUAUUGCACGUGUCCUUCUUGCUGGAGCACUCUGGAAUGGCCAUGCAGAAACACAGCCCCACUUUUGUCUAGAUGAAUCUGGAAAUGAAGACCCAAAAUAUGCUGUUCGGCUGAAGGAAUAUGAGGAGAGCAGAGGUACAAACACUCGAGAUUACAUCAAAUGUAGAAUGUUUGCCCUAUUCAAAUGAAAAUGCCCCUCUUUUCCAAGCUCCGGGUGUCCUGGAUGAAUAAGAAGCAGCCUUUUUUUCUGCUCUGAGCAUUCUUAAUGGCCAUUUUAAUGACUGUCUCCUCAAGUUUACAGCCAGCUGUCAAAUUACUGAAUGCCAAUAUUUAUGAAACCCCAGCAUACACAGUGAUAAUGACACAAUUCAGUAUUUAUGGGGAGCACAUUUUUUGUAAAUACCAACACUGAGUAAUCACAGUAACUACUCUCUUGGUAACUCUACUAAUUUCAGAGGACAAUGAGCAAGAAUACCUUGAAACUUAAAAAUCAGAGACUACUCACCCCUUACCCUUUUGGUGACUUCAGGCCCAGCGUGUAGUAGCAGUAAGAAAGAACUACAAUUUCUUAUUCUUGAAAAAUCAUUGCUGAACUAAUGAGGUGAGGGAUAUUUUUAGGGUGCUGUGAUUGUUUUGCAGGUGGUGGGGAGCCUGACAAGGUACGCAGCAGGGAGGGAAUACUCCAUCUGUCACACAAUAGCUCAGUGAUUGGAACAGUGUUUGGAGAGGGAGGAGAAGAGGUGAGCAAAGUAUCAGACUCCCUUUGCCUCUCAAAAUUCUCUUAUUCUCGUUAGCAAACUCCAAAGUCUCUGCCUAGAAAAUUGCUCAGAAGCAGAGGCAGUCCCUGAUUUUAGAGCCUGUGAGAUGAAACAGUUCUUGAGAGCAAAGUCGUUCUCCAGGACUUAGAUGACUCAAAUGCACCUAUGCUGUGGUUUCCCUGGAGUUUAGCCAGUGGGCACUGGAUCCAAAAGCCUGUGAAGAUGGGGCAGGACAGACAUCAUGGAGGGAGGAACCACACUGGCAAACUUUGUUUCCAUGUAGUAAGGGAAAGACUGCAAAUUUGAACGUUAAGGAAGCUGUUCCUGCCUACUGCUGACUUCUGUACUUCCAUGUUCAGGUCACAAUUAUAUUUACCACAUAAUUGCAACCAGAGGAGAACUUCGGGUUUAUAUCUUAUUCAAUAGAAAAUUCUCUACUAUUGUGAUAUUUUCUAAUGCUAGAAAUGAUGACAGAAAUUAUGUCAGUAGCUCACACCAUUUCCUGCAGAGCCUGUUUCCUUAAGACGUGCUACAGAGCAAUAUUCAUCCAAAGUAACAGAAGGUGUAAAUUAAGUUGAAUAAAAUGGAAUCAAAUUGAGGAAAUGUUCAUUCUGCCUGGGAAUGACCACACAAAUAUUUAAUGCAGUUUAAAUAAUGUAUCCUAAAUGUUUUUCUUUAGGUAAUUUCGUUACUGUUCCUGACCAGCCUAUGUAAUAAUCAGAUGUUCUUUGCUGGAGUAUUAACCAGGCUUGCAUUUAGGAGUCUGCUCUGAAGAUCUGAAAAAAGAUUCCACUGAAUCCACUGGGUUUUGCGUCAGAUACCCAGCUUGCAGGGCCAGCUGAAACAAGUCUGAGGAGCAGAGGAGUGGCCUGCCCUGCUGUAACAUCACCACAUAACAUAACACAGAACAUCCACAUUAUGUCAGUGUGAAGGCUCAUCUGGUACUGCUUUAUCUCUCCCAUGCACACCAUUAGGGGACAGGAAUAUAAGAACAAAAGAGUAUGUGUUUGCUCCUGUGUGUGUGGAGCAGGGGAAGUACCGAAGUAAAGGGAGAGGAACCAUCUCUGUAUACCUCUAAAGCAAUAGGAGAAUCCCUGAACUACAGGCUUUAUAACCAGAUGGUCAUGUUUAGUAGCCACCAAUGGACGGCUCUUUCAUGAAUUUAUUUUCCCCCUCCUUAAUAUUUUUAUACUAAUUAAACUCCAUGUGAAAAGGCCUUUUGUUUAAAUCCAUUAUGCUUCAGCUGCAGGUAUCUGUUUUGUUCCAUGUUCUCUCCUAGUUUUCUGUCCCCAGCAGCAGUGGCUUCAGUAUCUGAAGUAAUAAACAAAUAGUAGCAGAAAUGAAGCUUUUUAUUAUCAUCAUUUACUGGGGCAGGCAGGGGGGAAGAUGAUGAGACAUCAGUGAUUAGUUGCCUAAAAAAAAGAAAUAAAAAUUAACAAAUUUUCAAGUAGAAGGAUAAGUAAUGGGCCACAUGGAGUCAGAGGCCCUGUGUUUCUAUCCAGUCUUUGAUCAACUCACUCAAACUCUCUCAGUUUGUUUCCCAAUGCGUGAAACAGAAACAGAAAUGUGUAGCAUAAGUGAAAACAUGGACUACUAUAAUUAAAAUCUGUACCAUAUUUUGAAGGUUUUGAUUACAGUAUAAAAGCCAAAUACAAGGGGUUUCUUCGUCCUUACUGUGACUGGUUUGCUUACAUUGGCACUGUCCUUACUUAAAUGGGUUAAUUUACUACACAUAUGUACAUAUAUAUACAUAAAAAUUGUUACAUUCUUAUUGAGUGUACUCACAAGGAACUGUAAAAUAGCAGUUACCAACUUCUCCAGAUCCUGCCCUUCUCUUCUGAUUAUCACUGGCAUAACUUCUGAUGCUUGAUCUUCCCAUGGCGCAAGUUUGUUCUUUUGCUAGAUUUCUCUUUUGUGCAUUGAGACGAAGAACUCAUGUCACUUGGAGCAAGCUGAUUUUCUUGUGUGAGGGUAUGGGAAUAGAAAAUAAAAUCUCGCUUCUGUUGAACAAAAUGUACCUAUACUUAUGGCACAUAUCUGAAAGCUUCAUCAGCAGUGAUCCGUGAAACUAGAUCUCUGACAUGAAAGUGUGAAGUAGACCCUGAAACAGAACAAAAGGAAAGGGUCAUGUUUACAAAGUCAUACUAAACAUUUGCAAUUGAUUCCAAUAGUGUUUGCGGAACAACAGUGAACGCAGAUUUUACUUUGCUGUGAAAGGCUGCUCUUGGCCACCUGAUAGGAAGAAUGAAUCAACAGUUAAACAAAAUGCCCCAUUAAGCACCUAUUAUCAUGAA